rnacentral:rRNA from 1 species
UACGUAGGGUGCAAGCGUUAAUCGGAAUUACUGGGCGUAAAGCGUGCGCAGGCGGUUGUGUAAGUCAGAUGUGAAAUCCCCGGGCUCAACCUGGGAAUGGCAUUUGAGACUGCACAGCUAGAGUGUGUCAGAGGGGGGUAGAAUUCCACGUGUAGCAGUGAAAUGCGUAGAGAUGUGGAGGAAUACCGGUGGCGAAGGCGGCAUCCUGGACCGGUAUUGACGCUGAUGCGCGAAAGCCAGGGGAGCAAACGGG